AUCCCACAGCGGAGAUAUCCUUGUGCUGGGCUGCUGCUGGGACUACUGACUACUACUACAGUACAGCUACAAUAUAUACAUAUAUAUACAAUAUAUACUACAAUAUUAGAGAUAAUAUAAAUAGUGAAUUACUUCCUGUGUGUUAUUUGUCCGCUGUUGUCUUCAUUUCCCGUCCACAAGAUGAAACCAGGCAUGAUAUCCUCCAUGUCCUUCAUCAUGGUUUGACGUCUGCAUGGGAAAAGACACUGGAGUUGAUGUCAUUAUCCUUCACCUGGUCAGCAACAACUUUUAGCUGUCGGGCUUGGUCUUCCUCUGUUGUCCACCUGCUUCAACAUGUGAAGAGUUAUUUGUUCUGAGAUGCUCUGCUUCACUUCAUCAGGAAUAUAUUUGGGAGGAUGGUGUUUUAUACUUCCAGCAGGGUUCAGAGACUUGUACAGCCAGGGAGCCCUGAGGCUGUUCUGGCAGCGUUUUCCUUAAAUUUGUCACCCAUCUGUACAUAUCAUACAGUAAACCACAUUCAGAGUUGAUUAAUUCAACAUACCUUUUUUAAUUUAGCUGAAAAAUAAAAGGACAUCUUGACCAACAGUAGUGUACCCAGUAAUACAGUGCACAUUAGUAGCCACCUAAUGUACUGCAUGUAUAUAUACUGUAUAUACACAUACGGAGGCUGAAAUGCAAUAAAU